UGUCUUGUAGAUUGUGGAAUGUUUGGUGUCUUGUAGAUUGUAGAAUGUCUGGUGUCACAAUCUACAAGACACCAAACAUUCCACAAUCUAGGAGACA
rnacentral:pre_miRNA from 1 species